GCCUGGCAAGAAUGUGAACCUCAGCUCCUGGGAGCAUGGGGCUGGAUGGCUCUGUCACACAGUCUACAGCCCACUGACACUUCAAAUGCCAGCUUCCUGCCUUCUUGCCUCCGGAGGAAGCAUUCCUGGAUUACCUUGCCUGGAAGGGAGGGGAGGAGGAGCUGCAGGAAGCAAAAUGUCUGUCCUAUGAUGAAUGUGCCCUGAUGUCUCAUUGGCUAUAUUGGUCACAUGGCUUCACUGGCCACAAAGGAUUCUGGCAACAGAAGCCACAUCCUGAGGAUUCCUGUCAGGGUACAGCAUGGGACCAGGAGUCUUGCCAAUACUUCCCCAGCUCUGCCACUACGAGGUGUGAGCCCCAGAUCCUGUUACUCCCCUCUCUGGGGCCCAGUUUCCUGAGCUAGAACACAGGAGCUCCUAAGCCUGUCUCCCCUCCUUCGGUUCAGGGCAUCCCAUUGUCAGCCCCUACCUAUGCAACAUCUGCUCUCUCCCCACUCCCAUGCCAUUCCACCCCCUAGACUUGAUUUCUGAGGUCCUGCCCCUUGUGGCUGGCUUUCCCUUUCUCUAACCUGUUCACCUAUCAUUCUUCCUCCAGUAGUUUGGCCCUUUUGAAAGUGCUCUCUAUCCUGGUAUCCUGUGAGAUUCCAUGAUCUCUCUAGGGAGGAAGAAGCAUAAAGUUCUGGUCUCUGCUACAGAUCGGCCAGAUUUUAGAUUUUUUCCCUAAACCCAUUCAGAUCACUUUCAGUGUGCCAGGCCUUGUCCAAAGGGCUUUACAUUUUAACUCACGUAACACCAGGAAGUAGAUACUGCUAUUGUUAUCAUCAUCAUCAUCAUCAUCAUCAUCAUCAUCCCCAUAUUUAAAAGGAGAAGAAUGGGGCACAGAGAGGUUAAGUAAUUUGCCCUAGGUCACACAGCUGGUAAGGGGCAGAGAUGCAUGUUUUUCCAGGCGGUCUGGCUUUACAAUCCAUGCUCUUUUUUUUUUUUUUUUUUUUUUGAGAUGGAGUCUCGCUCUGUCGCCCAGGCUGGAGUGCAGUGGUGUGAUCUUGGCUCACUACAACCUCCGCCUCCCGGGUUCAAGCAGUUCUCUACCUCAGCCUCCCGAGUAGCUGGGAUUACAGGCACACGCCAUCACGCCUGGCUAAUUUUUGUAUUUUUGGUAGAGAUGGGGUUUCACUAUGCUGGCCAGGCUGGUCUUGAACUCCUGACGUCGUGAUCUACCCGCCUUGGCCUCCCAAAGUACUGGGAUUACAAGCAUGAGCCACUGUGCCCGGCCUCUAUAGCCUGCACAAAAUAAUAACAGUUUCUCAGUUGUGAGAAAGGACAAAGUUAGGAAAUUGGUUAUUAUUUUGCUAUAUAAAUUGGGCAAGUUAUUUAACCUUGUCAUAGCUGUAAAUGCUGAACCAUUUAAGAGUAUGUGGCAGACAUCAUGACAUUUCACUCUAAAUAUUUCUGUGUAUAUCUACCAAGAACAGAGACACUGCCCUAUAUGACCUGAGCACUAUCAUCGCUGAUACACUGAUACACAGUGUAUCAUCUAAUACACUGUUUAUUUUCAAAUGUCUCUGUCUCGAAUCUCACUCUGUUGCCCAGGCUGGAGUGUACUGGCAUGAUCUCAGCUCACUGCAACCUCCACUUCCUGGGUUCAAGAGAUUCUCCUGCCUCAGCCUCCCAGAUAGCUGGGACUACAGGCGCGCACUACCAUGCCUGGCUACUUUUUUGGUAUUUUUAGUAGAAACAGGGCUUCACCAUGUUGGCCAGGCUGGUCUCAAACACCUGACUUCAAGUGAUCCAUCUGCCUCGACCUCCCAAAGUGCUGGGAUUACAGGCAUGAGCCACUGUGCCCAGCCUCAAUAAUGUUCUUUAUAGCUUUUUUUUUUCUUUUUCAGUAUAGAGUCCAAUUAAGGACUACACAUUGCAUUUAGUUGUAAUGUCUUUAAAACUUUUAAAAAUUCAGAUAUAAUUCACAUUCCAUAAAAUUCCUUCCUCUAAAGUGUAUAAUUCAGUGGUUUUUAAAAAAUAUAUUCCCAAAGUUGUGCAACUAUCACCACUAAAUAAUUUCAGAAAGUUUUUAUGCUCAAAAGAAACCGCAUGCCCAUUAUCAGUCACUUUCCAUUCCCAUUUAAGCCCAUAGCAACCA
rnacentral:lncRNA from 1 species